rnacentral:rRNA from 1 species
GACGAACGCUGGCGGCGUGCUUAACACAUGCAAGUCGAACGGUAGGCCCUUUCGGGGGUACACGAGUGGCGAACGGGUGAGUAACACGUGGGUGAUCUGCCCUGCACUUUGGGAUAAGCCUGGGAAACUGGGUCUAAUACCGGAUAGGACUACGCGAUGCAUGUCGUGUGGUGGAAAGCUUUUGCGGUGUGGGAUGGGCCCGCGGCCUAUCAGCUUGUUGGUGGGGUGAUGGCCUACCAAGGCGACGACGGGUAGCCGGCCUGAGAGGGUGUCCGGCCACACUGGGACUGAGAUACGGCCCAGACUCCUACGGGAGGCAGCAGUGGGGAAUAUUGCACAAUGGGCGCAAGCCUGAUGCAGCGACGCCGCGUGGGGGAUGACGGCCUUCGGGUUGUAAACCCCUUUCAGCACAGACGAAGCGUAAGUGACGGUAUGUGCAGAAGAAGCACCGGCCAACUACGUG